GAAUGCUUAGUGCUGGUAUCUGACUCAUGGCUCAGUGCUCCAUUAGCUCUUAAACAGGAAUAUAACUAUUUUUGUAAUUCUUUUGUCCAAAGGUAUAGCAGAAAGUCAUCGAGCAUAUAUGAAAACAAAUCCGAGACAUCAAAUGUGGAAGCAUCUAACAAUAAAAACAGGAAUUCCAGUCCCAACGCCAGACAAAAGAGAGAUCCAGAACCUAAGGAAAGAGAAGUUGCCCGUCGCUUUUCCCUAGCCUCCUCCAUCAGCACCACAGUUAAUGCAUCUGCUGUGACCAAAGGUCCCCUUGUUCCUGCAGUUAAAGUCAAGAGACAUGAAAUAAAGAGUGACCCAACUCCCCUGGGGUUUGAAGAUGCUUUUGAGAACACCAUAUUGGCCCAGACUAAAUGUAGCACUGGUUCCACCACAAGACCCGUACCUAGAUCUGCUUCACAGACAGGUUGGCCCAGUAGGCAAAUGCCAUCUCUAGACACAUUUGAAGACUUUGAAGCCAUUCCUUCCAGCAUGGAUGAACUCUCCAACUCUUCAGACAUGGAGGAAGAAACCAACCCUAACAAUGGGACCAAUCUUUUUCGAGUAGAAGGCAGUUUUGACAGCUGUUUCCCAGAUUCUCUUACACUUGAGGAUGGAGAUCUAGUGCAGUUUGUGCAGGAAGGAGAAAAUGGGCAAUGGUUAGUGAAGAAAUUGGUCUCGGAGAAAAGUGAGUGGGUUCCUUCCAGUAUAUUGCAGCCAGCAGAGGGGGACACUAACAACAUAAUUAAGAACAGCAAUGCAGACAUGUACAAUGAUUCCUGCAGCACGGCUUCAGUUGAGUCGGACACCAAGGAGAGUGAGGUGGCUAAAAGCUUCCCAGCAGAACAGAGGGCUGGCAGCUGA
rnacentral:lncRNA from 1 species